GAGCUCUUCUUAUGUCACCGUUGCAUGUCCUCACUAUCUAUAUAUCUCUUCUCCAUCACUCUUCCUGUCUCAAUCUCUGUUGAGCACCAUUCAUUGUCUCAACUUCUCACUCUCUUUGCCUCUUUCAAUGAUUUGCACUUGAAGUUGUGAACUUUAAUAUUGUUUAAUCUUGUGUGAUUGUCAUUACUCAGUGAUUUGCACUCAAAGC
rnacentral:misc_RNA from 1 species